rnacentral:rRNA from 1 species
CAAAAACAUGUCUUUUUGAGUUAUUUUUAAAGUNUAACCUGCCCACUGAAUUAUUUUUAAUGGCCGCAGUAAUUUGACUGUGCAAAGGUAGCAUAAUAAUUAGUCUUUUAAUUGAAGGCUUGUAUGAAUGGUUGGACGAAGUAUAAUCUGUUUCAUUUAAAUUUAUUAUAAAAUUUUAUAUUUUAGUAAAAAAGCUAAAAUUUUUUUAAAAGACGAGAAGACCCUAUAAAUCUUUAUAAUUUAAAUUUAAUUUUAUUUUUUUGAUUUAUUUUAUUUUAAUAAUUUAAAUUAUUUUAUUGGGGUGAUGUUAAAAUUUAAAUAACUUUUAAUUUUUUUUUAAACCAUUAAUUUAUGAUUUAUUGAUCCAUUAAUAAUGAUUAUAAGAAUAAGUUACUUUAGGGAUAACAGCGUAAUUUUUUUGGAGAGUUCUUAUUGAUAAAAAAGUUUGCGACCUCGAUGUUGGAUUAAGAUAUAAUUUUAGGUGUAGUAGCUUAAAUAAUAAGUCUGUUCGACUUUUAAAUUCUUACAUGAUCUGAGUUCAAACCGGA